GGCCUCAAGCUCUCCAUCCUCCUGUUUCAGCCUCCAGAGUGCUGAGGUUACAGGGUCCCCCCUCCUUCUGCUCUGCUGGCGCUCGACCCAGAAGGCAGAGUCUCUCAAUCAAGCCAGAGCCCACCAUUUGGCUGGUAUUGCUUCUCAACUUAUUCUAGGAACCUCCCUAAGCACGGAUCUAUCUCUAUUUCCUGUUUCUUCUUGGUCUUUUUGAGGUAGAGUCUCACUAUAUAGUCCAAAUUGGCCUGUUCCUGCCUCUGGGUGACUGGGGUUCCAUAUGUAGACCAUUAAGACUGCUUUUGCUGUCGUUUUAAAAGCUCCAAACAGCCUCAGUUUCCCUCUCUGGGAAACGAGGGUAAUGGUGCCUCCUGUAUCAGGCUAUGAUGGCGGUGGAAAGAUUCUGUGAUAACUUCACAGAGCCCGGCCAGAUGACAGCUGGUCCUGUGAUUGCAAGCAGGCAUGCCCUAGGGAGGAGGUGGUAGUUAAAGACCUGUUCUCGGGGAUCAACUGGAAAGCACACAGAACCCCCGAAGUAGCUGGCCCAGCUGAGCCCCACUCUCUUUACCACAUCCCUUCUCUCCUUCACUGAGGCUUAGGACCUCUAUCUCUAGAUAGUUCUAGUUCUUUCUCUGUAAUAAAUAUUUGUCAUCUGCAGCCUUAAUCAAUCACAGUGAGAGGCAUAUCUGUGAAGUGUGCAGCCAAGGUCCUUGGAAGGUCCUGGAGGCGAAGUUGGAGAGGAAGUACUGGCCUGAGGCCAAGGGCAGCAAAGAGUGAAAAGGGGCCGGGGACAGUGUACAGAGCAGUGGCUGGCUUGUCUCCACUAUCAGACUUUACUCCAGGAGGAGGCAGAGGCCGUGUGAGAGCCGUGCCGCUUCACCUGGCUCCUGACCUAUAUUGGAAGUGACAAACACGGGCUCCGAAAUGCUUACAAGGCACCUUGCCGGCAAGCACUGUGAAGUGAAAAUGAGACUAGAUGCUGAGCAAGUCCCACAAACUGUGUGCCCAAGCUCUGGACAGAGCAGAUAGACACAGUCUUCCUCUGAACUAUGCUUGCUGCAGUCCCUCCACCAGCAUGGAGAAGAAGCUCACAAGGACUGUCCUUCAAGCCUAUAUCCAUGCUCAGCUGUGCCAGCAUCUCUGGGCCUCAGGAACACCGAAGUCCUCAUUCUGAGCCAGGAACACAAUAGAAAUUUCGCAUGCAUGCUAGCAUUGAAGCCUGACAAUGACCACAUUGUCCCCAUUCCACGUGGCAAAGAGAAUAAAAAGACCAGGAGAUGGCAGAAGGACCGAGGACCUGGGGAGAAGACAGGAGGAGACUGGGGAGGGGGGGAGGGGGAAGGAACUGCUGCCUCUUUCCCAUGGAGAGAGAAAUGCCACAGGAUCCGGGCACUCCCUACAUCUCUCCACCUUCCGCCACCCCGUGAGCCUCUGCAGGGAGAUUUUUCUGAAUAAUGGGCCAUUUUCCUGUUUUAAUCAGAUGCAAUUUUGCAAGCAGUUUUUAUGAUUUAGCAAGUCCAUUAAAACUGGCGUUUGUUCUGCUCUGACACUCGAAAGGGGCUCUGCAGAGCAUAAACAUUGGAAAUUACUUAUAGGGAGAGACAAUAUUAAAAUUCCCCAGCCCAAGCCUGUUGUCUGAGAGAUUCUGCUAUCAAGCAUCAUGCCAGCUAUCAUCAGAGGCACUGGAGAUAUAUACUGCCUCCUCUUUAUACACUGGCUGGGGGCUCAGCAACUCAGGCAGCAAUAAAGAGGCUGCUGCUUUCCUUCAACACUUUAGGCAUCCGGAGAGGAAUGGGUCUUAAAGGGAACUUGCGGGAAGAGCAGGUCGCAAGUACAGGCUGGAGAGGAGAAGGGCCAGUGAGCAUGCCUUUAAGAGCCACUGUGGAAACUGCUUUCCGGCCCACAGUGAACAAUAGGGUCUAUUGGUCCAUAAUUAAGGAGGUUGUUUUUUGUCAAUUUCAUUUGUAGUCAAUUCUCAAUUAUCCAUGUACUAACAGAUGACCUGUUCAAAUAAAAAAACCCUCCCA
rnacentral:lncRNA from 1 species